ACAAAAAAUCUGUUCAAUCCCUGCACAUCUUUCAAAAAAAGUACCCGAAAACAAGUGUCUUUUUCUCUCAGAUGCGAGUAGCCUCAUCGAUCGUCUUCUCUGCAAAAUGCAUCCUCCGUUCUCUUCUUCGCCGCCGCCCCAAUUACCCAACGACUCUACCUCCGACAGCAGUGUCUCCGCCGAGCGCCGUCUUCGUGAGGCGGAGGAUCGCUUAAGAGAGGCAAUUGAAGAGCUUCAACGCCGCCAACGUCGUGCCUGGGGUAUCUACCCGCCUUGUGACCAUGCCGAUGAAUCAUGUGUUGCUAACGCAAUCGGUAACCUUUGCCAAACUUUUCUUCUCUCUUACGGUGUCCGCGUAGGAAUCGGAAUUCUCCUCCGCGCUUUUAAGCUCGCUCGCCGCCAGUCUUAUUCCUCUCUACUUGAUCUCAAGCAACUUGUCUCCGAAAAGGAUCUAAUUGUAAGAGAGGAAGCAUGUCGAAUUGGUUUGCUCUUUGGGGGAUUUACUGGUUCCUAUCAUGCUCUAAGAUGCUUGCUAAGAAAGCUGAGAAGGAAAGAGACACCCUUAAAUGCAAUUUUAGCAGGUUCAGUGGCAGGUCUGUCUAUUUUAGCAUUAGAUGAUUCCAACAGGCGGCGGACUCUUGCCUUGUAUCUUCUGGCAAGGCUAUCUCAGUGUGCGUAUAAUUCUGCCAAAUCCAAGAACCGGUUUCAUCUCUGGGGAAGUCACUGGAGUCAUGGGGAUUCUUUACUCUUUGCAUUGUCAUGUGCCCAGGUUAUGUAUUCCUUCAUAAUGCGUCCUGAGAGCCUUCCAAAAGCAUAUAGAGAUUUCAUUCAGAAGACUGGGCCAGUUGCAGCACCAGUCUACAAAGCUGUUAAGGAUAGCUGUAGAGGCUCUCCAGUUGAUGUUGCUUCAUUACAUGCCUAUUUGUCCAAAACAAAGGGUUCUGCUACUAUGAAGUUGGAAGAAUUUCCUGCUAUUAUUCCAUGCUCUGUAAUUCACCCUGGGACCAAAUCUUGCUUAGUUCGUGAUGCUAAUGCAGCGGCUGCUACUUUCCGGAAAACAUUUCCUCUUUACUUCUCCUUGACUUUUGUUCCCUUUGUCGUUCUACGCUUGCAGAAGGACCGCUGUACGGGACAGACGAUUGGCGCAGGACAUGAAUCACAAGGCCUUUACCAUCUCACCUCUUCAAAUUUCUUCACAGCAUGCUCCGUUACAGACCCUCCAAACCUAAUUCACAAACGUUUGGGACAUCCGAGUCUAUCCAAGCUACAUAAGAUGGUGCCUAGUUUGUCUAGUUUAUCCACAUUAGAUUGCGAAUCAUGUCAACUUGGGAAACACACCCAUGCUACUUUCCCACGUAGUAUUGAGAGUCGUUCAGAGUCUAUUUUCUCAUUAGUACAUUCUGAUGUUUGGGGUCCUAGUGGAGUCGGUUCUCCUUUAGGUUUCCGUUAUUUUGUUAGUUUCAUUGAUGAUUUUUCAAGAUGUACUUGGUUUUCUUAAUAAAAGAUCGUUCUGAGAUAUUUUCUAUAUUCAAAAGUUUUUGUGCUGAAAUACAAACUCAAUUUGGUGUUUCUAUUCGUACUUUUCGUAGUGACAAUGCCUUAGAAUACUUAUCCUCUCAGUUUUAGGAGUUUAUGACUCGUCAAGGAAUUGUUCACCAGACAUCUUGUCCGUACACCCCUCAGCAGAAUGGUAUAGCAGAAAGAAAAAUAGGCAUCUUCUUGAGACUGCUCGCACUCUUCUCAUUGAAUCCUAUGUUCUGCUGCAAUUUUGGGGCGAUGCAGUCCUCACGUUUUGUUAUCUAAUUAUUAGAAUGCCAUCAUCUUCCCUUCAGAAUAAGGUUCCCCAUUCUAUGUUGUUCCACAGUCACAUCUCUACUCUAUCCCCCCUCGUGUCUUUGGGAGCACAUGCUUUGUUCAUAACUUAGCCCCUGGAAAAGAUAAAUUAGCCCCUCGUUCUCUCAAGUGUGUCUUCCUUGGUUACUCUCGAGUUCAAAAAGGGUAUCGUUGUUAUUCACCAGAUCUUCGUCUCUACUUUAUGUCCGCCGAUGUCAUUUUUUUUGAAUCUCGACCUUACUAUAUACUUCUGAUCUUACUGAUAUCUCUGAGAUUUUACCCGUAUCUCCAGUCUUACCUGCACCAUCCUUGGUCUUACCCAUAUCUCCAAACUUACCCGAACCAACCUUUAAGGAAUCAACGGUUACUUAUACGUCUCCUGCUACAGUGCCACCACUUCUGACUUAUCAUCGUCGUCCGUGUCCACCAUUAGUCCCAGAUGAUUCAUGUCAUGCGUCGGACGCUGCUCCUACCGCGUACUUGCCUUCUUCUAGCCAAUCAGUUGCACUUCAAAAAGUUUAUGGAUGCUCCUACACGCACCUGUUGGUAUGCUCUUACAGGGUCUGUUCGCUCGACAACCUUCUUGUCCGCUUUUGUUGGAAUCUUUCAG